rnacentral:lncRNA from 1 species
GGUAUUUUGCUGCUUGUGUUUGUCAAAGUUAUGAAAGUUAUUUAAAUUGUAUAACGUUUGAAAGAUGCCAAGGGGUAGAGCAAACAUCGAAAAUAAAAUAAGGCUAAGUGGUUUGUGAGCUAAUGAGAGUAAACCUCCCAAAGGAAUAAACGAAGAAGUAAGCUCAGUACUCACGGCAGAUUUUGUUUCGAGUUGAACUUUAAUAGUGUAAAGUGACCUAGGGGAGUUUAUCGUGUUCUGCGUGUAGUUAUGACAGGAAGGCACAUUAUACUACACGUUCAACCAGCCUAGACGGGAAGGUGAAGCUCCUCGGGCAUUCAUCGUUGCCUCCACGCUUUGCUCCCAAUCUUACGAGAAUGACCUUGUAUGAUCAAUGCCUGACCACUGUUUUUGGAGUUGGCGUCCUCACUGGUCCAGAGACAGCAGCGCUGCACAAAAACUGUGAACCCUGAAAUUUCCGAUAUACGAGACUCGGAGAUACUCAUAUUAAUAUAAUACACAAGGUAUAUUAAUGACGCCUAUGCGUACAUGUUCUUGUUGUGUUAAACUUUAUAUAAUCCAGACUGCACAGAAAAAUAUAUAUCUAUAAAAUUCCACACGUUUCAAGAACGUUAAUCUUUCAGUUAUUAUUGUUUUGUGUGUACAAGAAAACCAGACAAUAAAUUCGUCCCUACAGGUGUUUAUACAAAUGCCGUCACGCUAUUGCAGUAAAUACUGUAGCCUAGUAUCUUCCAAAAGACGCGCAUCAAAAUAAAACUUAUAUUACACCACACAAACAAAGUCAAAUAAAACCAAUGUUCAAGUUUUAUUUUACAAUGCUUUGUAACAUUUUAACCAAUAAAAUUGUUAUUCAACACA